AUUUUCCUAGUUGAAGAAAAAAAGAGAUAAACAGAAGAUUCAGUGAUUGCUAAAGACUUGAAAGUUCCCAGAGGGAUUCCUUCCCCUCUACCCUGCUCCUCCCGCCAUGCCCACAUCCCUCUCCAGAGGCCCCGAGCGUUCUCCCUGUAUGUCCCAAGGCACACAGUGAAUCAGAACUCUGACUACAAGGACAUGGUUUCACUGAGCUUCCCUUCUAAAAUGGCAAGUUUAGAAGGGACGCAAGAACAGGGUGGCAGGUGUGCGCGCAGACGAAGUCGUAACUGCGCGUGUUUGAGAGUAAUUUCUCACACUCACACUUUUCAAAUGUAAUGAAAACCCUUACACUUCAAACAGUUUAGAUACCUCGAGUCCCUCAAUGCCAAAGGACAAUAAUUCUCUUACCUAUUUGGAGAAAGCUCCCAUUCUAAUUAAUUCACAAAACUUCUCCACUCACAAUACCCUAUCAGAGGUAAGGUCUUUUGUCUUCCUAAUGAAUGUAGCCAAACUCAUCAGCUACUUUAGACAAUACCACGAAAACCAACAAGUGUCCAGUCAUCACAGAGCCAUGUCAACAGAGACGUACAGCAAGCCCUAACACAAGAUCCCUGGGGCUGGCGCCACUGUUACCUUUCCUGAGGCAAUGCUCACAUUUAAUAAGUCUCGCCACAACCAUGCGUGUGUGAAUCCGUGCUUCCCUCUGUGAACUACACCGGCACUACUUGUGUUCAGACCACGUUACAUCUGUGGGGGAAUGUUCCUGCCUUCAAUAAUCGCCAGCUCUGGAAACUGCACUUCAUCAUGCUUGGCUACUCCACGUCUCCUGAGUCGGGUCACUCACAGGGACUGGGUUUAGAGGUCUGCUCCUGCUUACAAUAUAGCCAAGUUGACUUGAUGGAGACGUUAGCAAAUGAACGACACAAAGAUUUCAUUGUUAUGUCCCCUGAUAACCCUAGUGGGUAUGGGGGCUGAGAGAACAAAUCAUACGGUUAACUUCUGUUCUGGAAAGUAAACCCCUACAAACACAUUGGAGAGCGCACCCCCGUGAUGAUCCUAGACCACCAUGUGCCAGCCCUGCUGGGGAAAGCUCUGUUUUCACACCUGGAAACACAAGGAGUGAGAGAUUCGGCAAUGAAUCUAGCCAUCUGCAGAAAACCUCAACCCUUCCAUUUGGUUAACAUUUCCAAUACUUUUCCUCAUCGUACGUUCACCAGUCCCUCUGAGAGUGAAAUGCUAUCACUCCUGUUUCACACCAAGCGUGUCUCAGAGCACGCACACUCAGUACAGGAAAAAGGCAUGCGGCAGGAGACCAGGGACAGGUAACUGAUAGCCGGCCCCAGGCUGGAACCCACGAAUGUGCUCAUAAUAAUGAAGCAGGUGAAGUACCAAACCCAUGCUGCCCAGGUGCUGUGCCAGGUAUGAGGACACAAAGACUACCUCCUGCUACAGUGGGCACCUGCCCUCCAGGGUUACUGGGGAACAGAGGAGCAGGCAGUGACCUGACUUACAAUUCAGCUACAAGACAAAGAGUACACAGGAGCAAAUGUAGCACCCAGAUCAGACCAGGCUGGUGACCAGCUGAGGGAGGGGCCUCCUGGAAGAGCUGAGGCUUUGCCUGGCCUCCCUUGGAAACCUUCGGGAUAGCCGUUUCCACCUGCCUGCCUAUGAGUGGAAUCACAAGUCUGGCUUUCUAGGACAGUUGCUAGUGGUCACUGGAUGAAGACUGAUUUAUGAAGAUGUUUGGCACUUUUCAUAAAAUCUAAAAUUACACUUCUACGUGAGGCAUGCAAGACAAAACAGCAGAUUUCAGACUCACUUCACAACCUAAAAUCAACUUGGCAUUUCCUUAAGCAACACAUGCUAACACCUGAAUGCCUACCAUGGCCAGGCACUGUUCUGAGCGCUGAACUCAAUGCCUCCAGCAAGUUUCCUGCGAACUUGGUGCUUCCCUGCCCAUGCACCCAUCUACAGAUUUCUUUAAAAAAAUAAUAAUUGACUGAUCGAUUGAGACAGAGUCUUGCUCUGUUGCCCAGACUGGAGUGCACUGGCACAAUCUUGGUUCAAUGCAACCUCCACCUUCCAAGAUCAAGCAAUCCUCUCACCUCAGCCUCCUGAGUAGCUGGAACUAUAGGCGUGCACUACCAUGCUCAGGCAGUCUGGAAUAAACCUCACAUGAGGGCAUUCUCCAGUAAAGCUGCAUUUCUGAGAACAUCCUUCUGUGUCCAGGAGUAUCCAGUGAGAUCAGCAAAAGCAGUAAAAUGAGGGUGCUGUUCACGAAGAGCUAAUGAAGUUAGAGAAUCAGCUGGCAGAGUCUGCACAUCAAAUCAAACCUGCUGCUUCAAAGAAAACAAGUGACACGAUUUGUGGCUAAUCAUAAAAUCAGCUUUUGGCUGGGUGCGGUGGCUCAUACCUGUAAUCCCAGCACUUUGGGAGGCCAAAGCAGGCAGAUCAUCUGAGGCAAGGAGUUCAAGAUCAACCUGGCCAACAUGGUGAAACCCUGUCU